ensembl:lncRNA SLC44A3-AS1 SLC44A3 antisense RNA 1
CUGCUCACCAUUUCUGAGCCGAUGAGGACUCACCUGGGCUCCUCACUGGUCAGGGAACUGUGGCCCAGCCGCAGAGUGAUUGCUUUGUCAAGAAGGGAAACAUUUACCUUUCCUUCUUCCCUCUGCUCUCUCCUAAUUAACAAUUAAAUGGAAGGAGUUGAAAAGACAUGUCAGAGACUUCAAUCUCCUCCCGGCCUGAGGAUGAAGGGGGCUCGAACCUGAAUGUUCUCUUCGCUGUGGCCAGAACCUAGGGGGCUGGGGUUGCUGCCAGCUCGACUGGAGGCCUGCUUCCAGCCCCAGGCUGUGGUGAGGGGCCUCACAGAUUUCACAAACAGGAGGGCGGCUGACCAAGCGCCAAACUAUUUAGACAAACACACACCCUCCCUUCCCGCCAGAGUUUGGGCUGAUUUCUCCCAAUGCUAAUGAACAGCUCAUAAGUAUUAAUAGACUCCUUGGCACCUAGGAGUCAGGCAGAGUAACUUCCAGUGUGAAUUUUGGCCAAGGACCCUGAUGCAGCCUCAGGAUCUUCCAAGCCCCUGUUGAGUCCAGGGGGCAUGAGACACACAGGGAGGCUGGGGCUGCUCCCAGGAAGCAGGCUCACAAGAGCCAGACAGGCUCCCACAGACAGCUUUUAGGUCACAGAAACCUCUGCCUGCCAGGUAGGCAUGAACACAGAAACCCUCCCAAAUCCUCAGACUGUGGAGCACACUCCAGGUGAGCCAGGAUCAAUCCCUGGUCUCAGAGAACACUUAGAUGGGGGUGAAAAGCAGGAACUGAGAGCUUCCCACCCAGCACCUGUCCCUGCUACCAGCUAAACCUGUGUCGGUCAGUGCAGGAAUUGUACAGGUGAUGCUCUGAGCCUGUGCUGAGGCCAUGUAUGGACUGAGGAAACCUCACUGUGUGUAUGUAAAGUUAAUUCAAACCUAUUUCCCUGAGUGCUUACAUAUUUUCAUAAGGAAAGUUCUGUUAGGAGAGCUGCCUGAAACAACACCUCUGCCUGUGCUCCCACUUUCUCCCGCUGGUGUGGGGAGGAGAGGCUGACAUCGCUGGGUCCACGUUCCUCUGCCCUGGGUGGGGUAUUAAUGCUGCCAUUCCCACGCUGCCUGCUGUUUCCCCUCAUCCUCAGGAGGGCUGGUCUCUGUGCUGCAGGCAGCUCCACCAGGCCUGGGAGCAUGACACCGUCUGCCAAUGCCUUGCCCAGGUCCACUGGCCUCACCCUUCCGCAGGCCUGCGCCUUCUGUGACUCUCUGCCUCAGCAAUUUCUCUGGAUUUCUUUGUCCUCAGGAAUGUGCUGGGGCCACAGGCAGGUCAGGCCAGGCUUUCUGGGGAGUGAAUGCUCUCUGCCAGUGGCGGAUGGAACUGGUAGACACGUCCCCCGGAUUCCUCGCCUGCAAGUGGGAUGGUGCCAGGAAAGUUCUACACCAUCCUUCCCAGGUCCCAGGAGGACAAGCACAGUUGUCCACAAGGGAACCAAGAGGAUGUUGAAAAAUCCUGGUUGGAUCUGAACUUGGAAACAAAUUUGAGGAAUCUAUUUUACUUAAUCCUACUGAAAAAUUCCCUAAUGAGUUAAAGAAGAACAAAGUAAAAGAAGAUAAAAAAGCAGUUGGUACUUGAAAUGAAGAUCAAAUCAUCAAGUCCUAUAUGUCACCCACAGAUCUGAGAUCACUGACUCCCAGAGACACCCAGUUUCUCAGUGUCAGUACACACUGCCUGGGUUAGUAAGCACAGGCUGAGACCUGGGAGGAAUUGAUGAACCAAAUGUGUCUGGGCUUUUCACUUCCUCGGCAUGAGUCAGCCAAGAAAGCCCACCUCUCCUCCCCAGCAGCGUGCAGGGCCUCUGCAGAUAAAUGUGCAGGAUAGCAGACCUGGGUGUGGUGCUGCCUGGCACUGAGCCAGCCCCCAGAUUCUUUGGCUGCAGAGUGGCCUGGCCAACUCACACAGGUAGCGCCCUUUUAUUCUUGGAAAAGGAAGCACCAGGUGGAAAGGGAGGUUAAAGGAGGGAACACAACUUUUUUCCAGACCCCUCUGCCCAGGAUGUUAAAGGUUGCUGGAAAAUGCCUUUGGUGGCUUUAAAUGUCACAGAUGACAUAUUCCAGGAUGGAUCCAGCCUCCACUGGACUUGGCCCCUCUAUUUUGAUUCCUGCCUUUCCCCAGCCUCAGCCCUGAGCGGCAUAAUAUCUACACGGGGUUAGCUGCAGGUGGAACUCAGAACACAGCUCCUAGACAAGUAGAGUGAGGCCUAUGGCUUCAUCAUCAAAAUGUAAAAUUUAAA